GGCAGUGUAUUUGAAAGGGGAACGCUCUCCACAAACGUGGGUUACAGGCGUCUCCUAGCGGCGAAAGCAGCACAGGGCAAGCCAAUGCAUUUUGCUCGGGAGCUCUCGUUCGUCAGGACUCGCCUGUUGGGGGCUCUGCAGGCUUUCUUGGGUCUCAGAGGCCUGCAUCCGCGCCGGCGACGCCGUCCCGGGUCCUCUAGAGGUCUCGCCUCUCUGACUUCUAGUCUCCAAGGCGCCCUGAUCUCGGCGGGGUGAAGACGGGGUCUUCCUUCUGGCAGAGCUGACUUGAAUCCCGCGGUCCGCCUUCCUCUAAGUAGCUCCAGCCAACAGCAAUUCGAGAGCAUUUUGUCCCGGGCCAAGAUUCAAAUAUUGGCAUUAACAGCCAUCUCUGCCUCCUUACUCUGAUACCAUUAAAGAGCCCCACCCCGUCACCCAGGAAACACAAUACUUUAAAUCUGACAUUUAAAAAUGUCUCAAAAGUGUAACCUGUGUACUUUCUUCCUUGCUGUAUCAAGCAGAUUUUUUUCCCCUCUCCUUUUCCUUUUUCACUUGUCCUUCGGCGCACCCCAGAAUUUAGUGAGGCCAUGAUUACAUAAAUAACAGUCUCUGUGGUGAGAUCGACGAUUUCUUUGAAGUGCAGAAUUUCUUGCAAUGUAGCAAGAUCGAAUCCACUGGGAGAAGCAAGCAUGCCUUAGCAACCCAACGCUCUCUUCACCCCACGCCCCCUCUAGGAACACCAACCAUCUGGCCAAAACGAAGUGUAUCCUAAAACAUGAGGGAAGUAGGUAUUUUUUAUUUGGAGGGAGGGUUAUCAAAAUUAAUUUUCAUGAAAGUCCUGGUUGGCAUGUGAGUGAUAAUGCACCCUCGUUUAUUUCAUUCUCCUCAAAGGGCAGCAGCAGGAGAGGGCACGCAAAGGAUCUCAAAAAUGGUUUUAUAGAUACACGGUUACAAACUUUGAAACUAGCUAAUCUUGCUGCUUUUUUCCCUGCCCUUUUCUGGAAAAUGUGGGAGGGAAACAAGUUUGUUAACCAGUGUUUGGAUAAAUGAAGCUUUAAGAGAGUUUUUUUUUUUUUUAAAGAAAUGGAAGAAAAAAAAUCAAAUUAUCAAUAAGGAGUCUUUCGACACCAGGCCCUGAUAGGGUUGAGCUGGAUGGUGACUAGCACUUGUCAUUCCCAGCAAGCACAAUGCAGAGAGCAAAUGCAAAGGACCUGGACUGUAUUGCAUCUCUUAUAGGUAAUCGUGAAAUCAGUCUGCUUAUAGUAGUGUAACCUAACUUAAGAGGUGAGAAGGCAAGGCUUUGGAACGAAUGCCUGUUUUGUUUUUUUUUUCCUCUACAGUAGAAUGAGUGUUGACUAGAGUUUCUGGGAAAGAUUCAGUAAGCAUUCAAGUAACUCUGGUUACUGUGUUGUAAUCCUUUGAACCCAGAAGAGAACAAACCAACCCAUGUUUUGGUGGCUGAGAAUACUUAGCUAUUAAGUGUUACUUGAUAUUCAAAGUAGAGUGGUUCUCCAUUUUGUUUAACCUUGUUAAUACUGGUGUGGCUUCAUAUUUCAGUGUCUUUUCAGUUAUCAGACAGGGCCAGCGUUUUGUUAAACUCUAAACAGUGAAUUAAAAGCACUGAUGAGCUGAAGCAGCCCUCUAAUGCAAAAUGACAAAUUGCACUUAAGCAAUACAUGAACAAGAAAAUGAUUUAUGGAUUUUUACAAUGGUCUGAGCAAGUGAAAGCAACAUGAAUUAUACAUCCUAAUGCUCACAAUAACAUUUUCUAAUAAUACUGUUUCAGUUCAGAUGCUAUACUUUUAUCCUUUCUAUGAGAGAUAUUGAUCAAUACAAACUCCAGGAGUAUUUUUAAAUUAAUGAUGUUUGGUACUGGUUCCACAUAUACAUAUUUUUCUUGAAUAUGAGGUGGGGGAUCAACAUUGCACACACUAACAUUCUUGUUAGCACCUUCACAUGUUGUGUCUUUUAGUGAUGAAUAGGUAGUGUUUUGGAAACUUGUGUUUUGUUCCACACCUUCUUUCAGAAUGUGAACAAAGAGAUUUGAUUUAGGAUGACAGUCUUUAUUACAUCAUGACCUGCUUUUCUGAAAAUGAAAAUGCAUUACCUCAUUUUACCUUUUUAAAAAUUUCUUUGGAUAUUGAAAAAAGUGAUUUCUCCAAAAUGUCUCUUAUCCUCUUCUUAUUGGCUUAUCCUGUUUUGUUUCAGAACAUUGCUUAAUUCUUGAGUGUGUUAAAGACACACCUGAGUUAGUAAAAGGGUACUGUGCCUUAGUUUUUGGUUUUUUUUUUUUUUGAUAUUAGUAGAAAAAAAUAGAUCUUAUGGCUGUCUUAAAUUACAGAAAAAAAACUCAAUCAGAUAAAAUUUUGAAUGGGGGCUUGUUUGUUGAGUCUGAAAAAAUAUCUAGUUACUUCUGUGUUAUGAUAAGUGAUUACUCCUAGCAUUUUUAUUUAACCAUUUACGGCAUAUAUAACUAACUAUUUUAAGGUAUGUGUAGAAUUUAAGUGAAGACAUUGUCUUUGAUGUAUUGCAUAUGAAACCACAGGAAACUUC
rnacentral:lncRNA from 1 species